rnacentral:lncRNA from 1 species
CCCGAAGGAGCACCAGGACCCACUUCACACCUCCAGUCACUGCCAGAGACUGGCCAGACCUCAGCCAGAACCCUGCAGGUCUCCCCUCUGCUGCUCACCAGGGAGGGGCAGGCCCAGCCACUUCACACCUCCAGUCACUGCCAGAGACCUGGCCAGACCUCAGCCAGAACCCUGCAGGUCUCCCC